rnacentral:pre_miRNA from 1 species
AGUAGAAUUGCUGGGGCAAAUGAUAAUUCUGUGUUUAUUAACCUUUUGAAGAACUAGCAAACUUAUUUCCAAAGUGGCUGCAACAUUUUUUGUUUCCAUUAGCAGU